AUUGAACGCUGGCGGCAGGCCUAACACAUGCAAGUCGAACGAGUGGCGGACGGGUGAGUAAUGUCUGGGAAACUGCCCGAUGGAGGGGGCUAACUACUGGAAACGGUAGCUAAUACCGCAUACCCUCAGAUGUGCCCAAAUGGGAUUAGCUAGUAGGUGGGGUAAUGGCUCACCUAGGCGACGAUCCCUCGCUGGUCUGAGAGGAUGACCAGCCACACUGGAACUGAGACACGGUCCAGACUCCUACGGGAGGCAGCAGUGGGGAAUAUUGCACAAUGGGCGCAAGCCUGAUACAGCCAUGCCGCGUGUGUGAAGAAGGCCUUCGGGUUGUAAAGCACUUUCAGCGAGGAGGCGUUACUCGCAGAAGAAGCACCGGCUAACUCCGUGCCAGCCGCCGCGGUAAUUC
rnacentral:rRNA from 1 species